rnacentral:tRNA from 1 species
GCUGAGUAGUUUAAUAGGAUAAAACACCUGAUUAGCCUUUGGUGAUUAUCAGGAAAAUCGAGGUUCGAUUCCUCGGCUUCAGCG